CAAGUCGAGCGAACUUGCGGGAGCUUGCUCCCAAAAGUUAGCGGCGGACGGGUGAGUAACACGUGGGCAACCUGCCUGUAAGACUGGGAUAACUUCGGGAAACCGGAGCUAAUACCGGAUAAUUCUUAUCAACACAUGUUGGUAAGCUGAAAGUCGGUUUCGGCUGACACUUACAGAUGGGCCCGCGGCGCAUUAGCUAGUUGGUGAGGUAACGGCUCACCAAGGCAACGAUGCGUAGCCGACCUGAGAGGGUGAUCGGCCACACUGGGACUGAGACACGGCCCAGACUCCUACGGGAGGCAGCAGUAGGGAAUCUUCCACAAUGGACGAAAGUCUGAUGGAGCAACGCCGCGUGAGCGAUGAAGGCCUUCGGGUCGUAAAGCUCUGUUGUUAGGGAAGAACAAGUAUCGGAGUAACUGCCGGUACCUUGACGGUACCUAACCAGAAAGCCACGGCUAACUACGUGCCAGCAGCCGCGGUAAUACGUAGGUGGCAAGCGUUGUCCGGAAUUAUUGGGCGUAAAGCGCGCGCAGGCGGUCCUUUAAGUCUGAUGUGAAAGCCCACGGCUCAACCGUGGAGGGUCAUUGGAAACUGGGGGACUUGAGUGCAGAAGAGGAAAGCGGAAUUCCACGUGUAG
rnacentral:rRNA from 1 species